UUGCUUACUUUAGUAGCAAGCACAUAUACUAAAAUUGUGAUAAUACAGAGAAGAUUUGCAUGGCCCCUGUGCAACAACAACACACAAAUUUGUGAAGCAUUCUAUGUUUCA
ensembl:snRNA U6 U6 spliceosomal RNA